UCGAUUAUCAAAUCUUAAAAGGGUUGCGUGUCCGGAUAAGCAGUUUUGACGUUUACGUCCAAACGACUCAAUAUUUUGAACUGAAACUUUGAGACAAGGUCUGAGGUCUGUCUAUAAAAACAAGCACGUGCACAAGGAGGAUCAAUCGUUCUUGAUUCCCUGAAAUAAGCAGUCAUGAAGGUCUUAUGUCUUGUUGUUCUGGUGUGUGUUGUGUCCGUCUAUGGAGAGCAGGAGAAACGCCAAGUUGCUACUUUAGUUAAAUAUGCACCAGUUAUCGCUAAAUUCUUGGCGAAUAAAGUUGAUGUCGGUAAAUGGAUUGGAAAGGCUGUUGGUAGUAUAUCUGGUCUCAUCAAGGGAAAAAGCGGAGAUGUUACUAUUCCCAACACAACUUUGAAAAUUCACUACAAUGUUGGAAGAUGUCAUCUUGUUAAAGGAAAGCGAUUCAUCUUUCAUGAGAGUUGCACAGCCACUGCCAGUGAAAAUACCGUCACCAAGACCUCUGCUUCUUGCAAUACCCAUGUUCAAAGUUCUGCUAUCCAAUGCGCUAUAGAAGCUGAAAUGCAGAAAAUCCAAGAUCUAGCUCAAAAGGCCGCCCAAGCCGGUCGAUAAAUGUAUAUAUGUUUGUAAAAUAGAAAAAAUCGAAGCAAAGCUUUAAAAAGUUAA